rnacentral:rRNA from 1 species
UACGAAGGGGGCUAGCGUUGCUCGGAAUUACUGGGCGUAAAGGGUGCGUAGGCGGGUUAUCAAGUUGGGGGUGAAAGCCCGGGGCUCAACCUCGGAAUUGCCUUCAAAACUGAUAACCUGGAGUAUGGAAGAGGUAAGUGGAACUCCGAGUGUAGAGGUGGAAUGCGUAGAGAUCCGGAAGAACACCGGUGGCGAAGGCGGCCUGCUGGGCAGUUGCUGACGCUGAGGCGCGACAGCGUGGGGAGCAAACAGG